AUUGAACGCUGGCGGCAGGCCUAACACAUGCAAGUCGAACGGUAACAGGAAGCAGCUCGCUGCUUCGCUGACGAGUGGCGGACGGGUGAGUAAUGUCUGGGAAACUGCCUGAUGGAGGGGGAUAACUACUGGAAACGGUAGCUAAUACCGCAUAACGUCGCAAGACCAAAGAGGGGGACCUUAGGGCCUCUUGCCAUCGGAUGUGCCCAGAUGGGAUUAGCUAGUAGGUGGGGUAACGGCUCACCUAGGCGACGAUCCCUAGCUGGUCUGAGAGGAUGACCAGCCACACUGGAACUGAGACACGGUCCAGACUCCUACGGGAGGCAGCAGUGGGGAAUAUUGCACAAAGGGCGCAAGCCUGAUGCAGCCAUGCCGCGUGUAUGAAGAAGGCCUUCGGGUUGUAAAGUACUUUCAGCGGGGAGGAAGGGAGUAAAGUUAAUACCUUUGCUCAUUGACGUUACCCGCAGAAGAAGCACCGGCUAACUCCGUG
rnacentral:rRNA from 1 species